CAAUCAAAUGAAAACCAAAGACCGGAUGGUGGAGUGAUAAGAAGGCUUAUAGGAGACAAAGGGGCUGAACUCUCUAAAAUCCAACUUACCUACAGGAAUGCCGCAACUGCACAGAGAUGGAGUCUUCCGAGAUGCAUUUUUAGUUAAACCUGUUAAGAGGUGUCACUUCGAGCUGAAGAGGAGUGUGCCCUGGAGGGAGAUACUGUAUAGGAGAAUGUUUAUUUCUAUUGAGUGUUCUAUUUUGCAGGUCUUCAAUUGGAUGCUGCAGUGUAUUUCUUCCCUUGCACACUGCUCCUAGAACAUCUAUAAAGCUGCAGUACACCUGGUCUCCCCUGGAUUUUGUCCAUACAACUAUUCUCUAUGUUUAAUCCAGUCCCCCAGUAGCUUCAGAUAUUCUGUUUGCAAAUCUCAGUUCUGUCUCUCUUGCCGCUACUUUCUGCUCUUGCCCAGGAUUUCCAGUCCAUUCUGCUUCUCUCCUUCCUUGUCCAAGCUGCUGCUUCAGAUGCCUAAUUUGCUUGCAAGUUUGUUGAGAAACAGGGUCCCUUUUUGACGAGCUGCUGCAUUUACAGUUUUCUGAGCAGCUGCCGUCCCCGCAUCUCCAAGCUUUCUGCUGGUUUUACCACCCAGGUUGUCUGGGAUUUACUUCUUUUUUGGUCUGCUCCUUGUAAAGCUCCCUGUCAGAUCUAUGUUAUAUUUCAUGCCCAGAUUCUUGUUCCUCCUGGCUGCUGUUUUCACUCCCAGGCAUCUGUAACUUGCUACAUGUUUUGGUACCCUUCUGCAGUUCAUCCAGCUACAGCAAAUGCUCUGGAGAGGUGCCUGCUAUUCUGCCUGGAGAAAGUGCCCGGAAAUGUGCAGCAAGGUUGUUUCCCAGAGAUGGACCUGCAGGUUUCAAAUGUUUGCCUCCAUAUUCUGCCGCAGAAAAUGCAUUCCGCUCUUGUUCAGCACCUCCAGAAAAUGCUUUCAGUUUACUGCAGUUCCUACUGGUGUGUUAUGAAAAAUAUAAUUUUUUUUUUUAUAAAUAAAAAACUUUUUAUAAAAAAAUACAACCUGCUUUUUUUUUUUUUCAAUACAGUAAUUGCACACUUUUUCCGCUGCUUCCAAGAAUAUACGUAUGCAUCAGAUUCUGUAAUACACAAUCUAAUUACCAUUACAUAAAGUUAAUUACAAUAAUCAUAAAAUUUGGCUACAGUUUAUUGAAUUUGAUGAAAUAUGUUAGCUUAAUCACAAUAAAAUAUAGGCAAAGGACUAUUUACUCUUCUUGAUGGGAUGAGUUUAGGGUGUUUUCGAAUCUCCUAUAAAUUCAUUGUUUCUUUGUUAAUAUAUUAUUUUACUCAAAAAAAAAAAAAGUGUUAGCAAUAGCUAAUACACUGAUUUGUUUAGCUCCUUUGUACUAUUGAUGUUUAUUAUCAGGGUUCCAUAGAUACUGCAACUUGUAAAUUAGAUUCAUCUUUUUCUUUUUUUUUCCUUUUAAACAUCUUGCAAUCAAAUUUUCUCAUCAAGGAAUCUUUAUUACAUUUAAAAAAAAUCCUUUCAGUUAUCAGAUUAGAUACAUGUUUGUUAAAUUUAAGAGGAUAAAUUCUAAUAUAUUUAAUUAUAAAACCUCGCAAUAUAUAUAUUAAAAAAAGAGAGAGAGAGAGAGAAGAAGAUAAUGUUAAAAUCCAAGUCUCCAUACUCACUGAACAAAAUCCUAUAUAACAGGAUUAUGUUCCACCACCGAGAGCUACCCUAAUUUAUUGGUGUCUAAUAUACUUAUCUGACGUCCUUCUUCAGCUGUUCGAAUAAGAAAAAUAUAACAGUUCAACAAAAUCUAAUAACCACCUCGAAUCAUUGUAAUCUAAGCAAAUUUGUACUUCAAUGAUACUGUCUCUUAAACUCAGAAAGAUGAAAGGAAAAUAAAAAUAAUUUUCAGUAGAUCUUCUGAUCUCUUAAAUGGUUAAUGAUCCAUGUCAGAUUAAAAAAAAAAAAAUCUCUCUGCAAUAAACAAAUAUGUGGUCAUUUCACCCAACAUAAGCAAGGUAUCAGAUCUCACAGAUCAUUAUAUAACUAUUAUCUCCUUCCUUUUCAUGUCUUUUUUGCUUCUUUUUGAACAUAUGAACAUGGGGUUUGCAGUUUGUUCUCUCUUUGUUAUUUUUUUACAGUUCUGGUUAGUCUGUGCAUCAGCAAUGUGACUCAUGCUAUGAAUAUAAGCAGCAGUGCCAAUUUAACAACUUACACCGACUUCCUUCUAGUCAAUGGGGUUGCUCAAAAAUUCACCAAUGGGGUGAAUUCAUCCACCAUUUAUCAUUUUUAUAAUUAUCUUGCUUUUUAAAAAGGUCCUUGUGAAUUUUUUUAAUAUUCAUAUUAGAUAAACAGAGUUGGUUUCUCUUUAAUGCAGGUGGAACAGCUGGAAUCAUUAUCAUUGCAAUAUAGAUGAGAAGAUUGUGAAGACUACUGCAGAUGCACUUGUUGCAACUGGUUUGGUGGCACUUGGAUACAAAUAUGUAAAUAUUGGUUGUGGAAAAGCAGAUGACUCUUGGGAAGAAGCAGACAGAGACUGGAGGGGUAAUUUAGUGGCGGAAUCAUCCACAUUCCCUUCAGGAAUCAAGGCCCUUGCCAAUUAUGUUCAUGCAAGGGGUUUAAGACUUGGAAUAUAUUC